CCUCCACCAUUUUGACUCCACAUUGACAUCACCUCAACAUUUCCUCAAUUUCUUCCACGUUUCCUCCACAUUUCCUCCAUUUCCUCCACCUUUUCUCCACAUUUCCUCCACCUUUCCUCAACAUUUCCUCCACCUUUACUCACAUUUUCUCAAUUUCCUCCACUUUUUCUCCACGUUUCCUCCAUUUUUUUCCACAUUUCCUCAAUUUUCUCCACCUUUCCUCCACAUUUCCUCAAUUUCCUCCACCUUUUCUCCACAUUUCCUCAAUUUUCUCCACCUUUUCUCCACAUUUCCUCAAUUUCCUCCACCUUUCCUCCACAUUUCCUCCACCUUUCCUCCACAUUUUCUCACUUUCCUCCACUUUUCCUCCACAUUUUCUCCAUUUUUCUCCACAUCUCCUCAGUUUCUUCCACCUUUCCUCCUGAUUUUUCUCUAUUUCCUUCACUUUGCCUUCUCAUUUCCUCAAUUUUCUCCACAUUUCCUCAU
rnacentral:lncRNA from 1 species